rnacentral:rRNA from 1 species
GUUCAUAAUGAACACUUUUUAGCUUCUAAAAACAGGUCUUUGAUCUCAGAAGCUAAGCAGGGUUGGGCCUGGUUAGUACUUGGAUGGGAGACCACCUAGGAAGACCAGGUCCUGUAGGCG